rnacentral:rRNA from 1 species
AUUGAACGCUGGCGGCAGGCCUAACACAUGCAAGUCGAGCGGAUGAAGGGAGCUUGCUCCUGGAUUCAGCGGCGGACGGGUGAGUAAUGCCUAGGAAUCUGCCUGGUAGUGGGGGACAACGUUUCGAAAGGAACGCUAAUACCGCAUACGUCCUACGGGAGAAAGCAGGGGACCUUCGGGCCUUGCGCUAUCAGAUGAGCCUAGGUCGGAUUAGCUAGUUGGUGAGGUAAAGGCUCACCAAGGCGACGAUCCGUAACUGGUCUGAGAGGAUGAUCAGUCACACUGGAACUGAGACACAGUCCAGACUCCUACGGGAGGCAGCAGUGGGGAAUAUUGGACAAUGGGCGAAAGCCUGAUCCAGCCAUGCCGCGUGUGUGAAGAAGGUCUUCGGAUUGUAAAGCACUUUAAGUUGGGAGGAAGGGUUGUAGAUUAAUACUCUGCAAUUUUGACGUUACCGACAGAAUAAGCACCGGCUAACUCUGUGCCAGCAGCCGCCGUAA